rnacentral:rRNA from 1 species
GUGUCAGCCGCCGCGGUAAUACGGAAUGUGCAAACGUUAUUCGGAAUCACUGGGCUUAAAGAGUCCGUAGGCGGCUUGUUAGGUGAGGUGUGAAAUCCCUCGGCCCAACCGAGGAAUUGCGCUUCAAACCGGCAAGCUAGAGGAGGAUAGAGGUGGGCGGAACUGAUGGUGGAGCGGUGAAAUGCGUUGAUAUCAUCAGGAACACCGGAGGCGAAGGCGGUCCACUGGGUCCUUUCUGACGCUGAGGGACGAAAGCUAGGGGAGCGAACGGGAUUAGAAACCCUCGUAGUCC